rnacentral:rRNA from 1 species
GGCGGCGUGCUUAACACAUGCAAGUCGAGCGGAAAGGCCCUUCGGGGGUACUCGAGCGGCGAACGGGUGAGUAACACGUGAGCAACCUGCCCCUGACUCUGGGAUAAGCCCGGGAAACUGGGUCUAAUACCGGAUACGACCGCCCCCGGCAUCGGGUGGUGGUGGAAAGUUUUUUCGGUUGGGGAUGGGCUCGCGGCCUAUCAGCUUGUUGGUGGGGUAGUGGCCUACCAAGGCGACGACGGGUAGCCGGCCUGAGAGGGCGACCGGCCACACUGGGACUGAGACACGGCCCAGACUCCUACGGGAGGCAGCAGUGGGGAAUAUUGCGCAAUGGGCGGAAGCCUGAGCCAGCGACGCCGCGUGGGGGAUGACGGCCUUCGGGUUGUAAACCUCUUUCAGCAGGGACGAAGUUGACGUGUACCUGCAGAAGAAGCGCCGGCUAACUACGUGCCAGCAGCCGCGGUAAUACGUAGGGCGCAAGCGUUGUCCGGAAUUAUUGGGCGUAAAGAGCUCGUAGGUGGCUGGUCGCGUCUGCCGUGAAAGCCCGCAGCUUAACUGCGGGUCUGCGGUGGAUACGGGCCGGCUAGAGGUAGGUAGGGGCAAGUGGAAUUCCUGGUGUAGCGGUGAAAUGCGCAGAUAUCAGGAGGAACACCGGUGGCGAAGGCGGCUUGCUGGGCCUUACCUGACGCUGAGGAGCGAAAGCGUGGGGAGCGAACAGGAUUAGAUACCCUGGUAGUCCACGCUGUAAACGUUGGGCGCUAGGUGUGGGGGUCUUCCACGAUCUCGUGCCGGAGCUAACGCAUUAAGCGCCCCGCCUGGGGAGUACGGCCGC